UACGUAGGGGGCUAGCGUUAUCCGGAAUUACUGGGCGUAAAGGGUGCGUAGGUGGUUUCUUAAGCCAGAGGUGAAAGGCUACGGCUCAACCGUAGUAAGCCUUUGAAACUGGGAAACUUGAGUGCAGGAGAGGAGAGUGGAAUUCCUAGUGUAGCGGUGAAAUGCGUAGAUAUUAGGAGGAACACCAGUUGCGAAGGCGGCUCUCUGGACUGUAACUGACACUGAGGCACGAAAGCGUGGGGAGCAAACAGG
rnacentral:rRNA from 1 species